GCAUGUACUUACAAUUAAUUGCUGUGGCCCAACUUCUCUUUAUCAUAAACCCCCACUUAAACCCCACUUCCUAACUCAUUCCACUCCCACUUCCCACCUCAUUCAACUCACUAUGGAGUGAACCAGCCAAUCAAGAAUUGCUGCAGAGAGAAUUCAUGGAAUCUUCGUCUCCUCUUCUCUUGUUGUUUCUGGGCAUCUUUUGCUUUUCUGAGUUCAUGUCCUGUGCUCAAUUGCCCACGGAAGCUGAAGGUGCCAGAAGCUCUUUGUUCGAAGUAACCUGCCAUUUAUAACGACCUUCAAGUUCAAUGCAAAAUGUCUAUCAAGUCUUCUGUCCUGGUGAUGGGCCCCUCAUCCAAGAGAAUCAGAUCAUCCCUUUUCCUUGAUUUUGUUGUCCAUCUAACGCAAAAAUUAGACAUUGUCGAGUUUCUGAGGCAAGUUCAUGGAUAUACAAAAAAUUUUAACUCGCAGACAUUGUUGAUUUGCUCUUCUUGUGCCUCUUUCUAAUGAUGAUUUUGUGCACAUUGCUUGUUAGUAUUGAAGAAUUUGAAGAAAAAUAUGAAGGAAUUUUUUUAUUUUA